rnacentral:rRNA from 1 species
CCUACGGGAGGCAGCAGUGGGGAAUAUUGGACAAUGGGGGGAACCCUGAUCCAGCCAUGCCGCGUGUGUGAAGAAGGCCCUCGGGUUGUAAAGCACUUUCAGUGAGGAAGAACGCCUGGUGGUUAAUACCCAUCAGGAAAGACAUCACUCACAGAAGAAGCACCGGCUAACUCCGUGCCAGCAGCCGCGGUAAUACGGAGGGUGCGAGCGUUAAUCGGAAUUACUGGGCGUAAAGCGCGCGUAGGUGGCUUGAUAAGCCGGUUGUGAAAGCCCCGGGCUCAACCUGGGAACGGCAUCCGGAACUGUCAAGCUAGAGUGCAGGAGAGGAAGGUAGAAUUCCCGGUGUAGCGGUGAAAUGCGUAGAGAUCGGGAGGAAUACCAGUGGCGAAGGCGGCCUUCUGGACUGACACUGACACUGAGGUGCGAAAGCAUGGGUAGCAAACAGGAUUAGAUACCCCAGUAGUC